rnacentral:rRNA from 1 species
GUUGGGUAACACUAACUGGAGGACCGAACCGACUAAUGUUGAAAAAUUAGCGGAUGACUUGUGGCUGGGGGUGAAAGGCCAAUCAAACCGGGAGAUAGCUGGUUCUCCCCGAAAGCUAUUUAGGUAGCGCCUCGUGAAUUCAUCUCCGGGGGUAGAGCACUGUUUCGGCAAGGGGGUCAUCCCGACUUACCAACCCGAUGCAAACUGCGAAUACCGGAGAAUGUUAUCACGGGAGACACACGGCGGGUGCUAACGUCCGUCGUGAAGAGGGAAACAACCCAGACCGCCAGCUAAGGUCCCAAAGUCAUGGUUAAGUGGGAAACGAUGUGGGAAGGCCCAGACAGCCAGGAUGUUGGCUUAGAAGCAGCCAUCAUUUAAAGAAAGCGUAAUAGCUCACUGGUCGAGUCGGCCUGCGCGGAAGAUGUAACGGGGCUAAACCAUGCACCGAAGCUGCGGCAGCGACACUGUGUGUUGUUGGGUAGGGGAGCGUUCUGUAAGCCUGUGAAGGUGUACUGUGAGGUAUGCUGGAGGUAUCAGAAGUGCGAAUGCUGACAUAAGUAACGAUAAAGCGGGUGAAAAGCCCGCUCGCCGGAAGACCAAGGGUUCCUGUCCAACGUUAAUCGGGGCAGGGUGAGUCGACCCCUAAGGCGAGGCCGAAAGGCGUAGUCGAUGGGAAACAGGUUAAUAUUCCUGUACUUGGUGUUACUGCGAAGGGGGGACGGAGAAGGCUAUGUUGGCCGGGCGACGGUUGUCCCGGUUUAAGCGUGUAGGCUGGUUUUCCAGGCAAAUCCGGAAAAUCAAGGCUGAGGCGUGAUGACGAGGCACUACGGUGCUGAAGCAACAAAUGCCCUGCUUCCAGGAAAAGCCUCUAAGCAUCAGGUAACAUCAAAUCGUACCCCAAACCGACACAGGUGGUCAGGUAGAGAAUACCAAGGCGCUUGAGAGAACUCGGGUGAAGGAACUAGGCAAAAUGGUGCCGUAACUUCGGGAGAAGGCACGCUGAUAUGUAGGUGAAGUCCCUUGCGG